GAGAACUGGGAUGGGGGGAGGAGGAGAGCUGGGGUGGGGGGAGGAGGAGGGGACCUCGGGGCUGCGAGCGAGGGGGCCGGGCCCUGUGGCACUGCCGGCGCCCCCGCCCUCAGGCUGGGCCGGGGCUGGCGGACCGGCGGGCGUCGCUUCAGCUCCCCGCGGCGGCGGGACCGGCGGGCUCGGGCGGGCGCGGCUGAGGGGAGGGGACUGCGGGGGGAGGGUUAACAGUGCCCACGGCCGUCUUAAACCUCAGCCCGCCCCGGAGGAGGGGGAACCCGGCGAGAGGCUUAGUGCGUGCGAAGCGCGACAUGGCGGCGAGGCCGACGAGCCCGACGAGCCCGGGGGGACCCGCGUGUACGGCGAAGGGGGCGGGGCUAGAGCGGCCUUGACAACCAUUAGAUCGCCGCGGGCCGGGCGGCUCGGAGACUACAUUUCCCAGAGGGCACCGCGUGCCGCGGGACGGAAGGGGAAGCGCCCCGGGCUCAGUGCGCAGGCGCAAGAGCUUCCCCUGGUUAUAUAAGAGAGGUCUGGAGGGCUCUUCGUCCUUUUGCGUUUUCGGCGCUCUUCUUCUCUUCUGUACCUGGUUAGUGCUUCGUCCGGUGCUGUGCGGGCCCGGGAAUCCGGGUUUGCUGUUGUGAGUGGUCAGUUCGAUCAGAGGGUACAGAAUGGAUCUCCGAAGAGGGGGUCGCUGCUGGGCCUCCAGGAGAACCCCCUGUAGACUUGUCCAGCCUUCCGUCUCCUGAUCUCUGGCAGUUGCUGUGGGCAGAAAGCGGACUUCGAGUGGACCAGGAAUGAGAUGUUGGAAUCAGGUCACUUAUCUUGGUUUUACCUGCUAACUUCCUGCAGGAUGGGAGCCCUGUGAGCCACAGGGCAGUAAAUAGAUGCAGCCUGAUGUGCUUGGUUCAGUCUGUCCUGCAACAGAUUUUGCCUGCCUCAGUCCUCUUGUGGCACAAUUGCCAGGGAAGAUGGAGCUUAGGGUCCCAAAUAGGACUUGCAGCUCCAGCCUGUGUCAGCAGGGGGCCCUGGGGGCACACAUUUCUCCAACUGGUGGGAGCAUAGCCUCCACCCUUGGGCUGGGAAGGGAGGAGAUGGCUUGGUGGCGGCGUAGCAGGUGGGUGAGCUUUUCAGCACUUCUGGGGUGACUGCAGCAGCAAAGCCUGAGAAAGGGUAAGUUCCCCAGGCCCGAAAUGUGUGCUUCCACUAGACCCAUGCAACAAACCAACCAGAAACAAAUUUGCCCAUGAUCCCUUCAAUCUAACACGUUAGUGAUUGGAUUUUCACUUUCCCACAUUCCCUUAUGUCCCCAUGUUAUCAUAGUAGGGUGCCUACUACCACUAUGGUUGGAACUUCCCAUUUUUAAAGGAAGCCAGAAAUCCUUAAACUGUUAGCAACAGAUUCCAAUUUUAUAAACUGAAGACUUAGAAAAUGCACACGUGUGGGCUUCAGAUAGCCUGGAGGCUGCCAGUUUGAGACCUCUACAAUUUUUUUUUUUUUUUUUGUCAGAGAGAGAGACAGAGCACAAGCAUGGGGAGAGGCAGGCUCCCCCCACCGAGCAGGGAGCCCAACGCGGGACUUGAUCCCAGGACCCCGGGAUCAGGACCUAAGCCAAAGGCAGACGCUUAGCCGACUGAGCCACCCAGGCGUCCCAAGACCCCUGCAAUUUGAGCUGUAUCUUUUUUAGCACCUGUCUUACCAUUCCUGAGCCAAAUAAAACACAUGAUAUCCAGUUCUAUGUGAAUCUCAGAUAAAUCACAAAUAAUUUUUUAGCAUAAGUACAUCCCUUGCAAUAUUCAGGACACAGUUAAAAUUAUUUGUUGUUUAUCUGAAAUUCACAUUUAACUGGGUGUUGUGUAUUUCUGUUUGCUAAAUCUGGAAACCUCAUUCCUGGGAGCAUCUGGCUUCAGACAAUGUCAUCUGCUCUUCAAGAGGAAGCCUUGAUGGACUUUGGGUCUCUUGUGUUGUGGCAGAGUGGAAUGGCUGGAGUUGCUCUGUCAAGCCCUGCCAGAUCUCCUAUCGCAUCCGCCUGAGGCAUGUCCUGCAGGAGCCAAGGAACAGGGGUGCUCCCUCCCCCCGCUGGAAGAGCGGGCUGGCUGUGUGGGUUACCGCGGCCACCAGAGAGUGGAGUGCCAACAGUCUUUAACCCCUGCUCUGAUAACCACAGGCAGCUACGGGAAGGAGCGGAAAAAGCGAGGUGUCCCCAAGGAGCAGGAGACAGUAGGGAGCUGGACACAACCGUGACCAGAACAAACAGGAGUUCCUGUCCUUCUGGGGCUGGCAUGAGACUGGGACCCAGACAGAGAAAUAAACCACACAGCCUUUUGGACGGGACGCUUAGACGGGGCCUGACGCAUGGAAGUCCUCAUGAUGUUAAAGAGUUGAGCCGAGUCUCUUGUCGUGUGUGACCUGUUGGUGAAGAGUGGGCUGCCAAAAGGUUCCUAUUCUCCGGCAGAAAUUGUACCAAGCUGGGCCUACAGAAGGCUAGGUACCCAGUAGGUGCUCCGUAAGUGCUCACAGGUGCUUGGAGUGGCGUCUCCCUGUGUGGCUGCAGGUACUGGGGCCCGUUCCACAGAGCUGGCGGCACAUGAGGGCGCCCCACGCCCAGUGGACGAGGUAUCCGACCCAGGGCCACACGGUUUGUGUGAAGUGUGAGUGGCCUGCCCCGGACCCCAGGAACCAGCGCUGCUGUGGGGCUGGAGGGUGGAGAAAAAGCUAGUGCUGCCCCUCCAGGUCCCCGAUUCAGCCUCUCCCGCAGAUCUUCACAUCCCCAUCUCCCUUGUGCCCUCCAGAAAAUAAUACAAACUCCACCAAGCUCGUUUUCUCCAUACCUUUUUAUUGAACUGUGCAUACUUCAUUAAAGGACCAUUUGCUUAGAAAUUCUUGAACGUUUGGACAUAUUUUACAAGACAGGACAGCAGCUGGAGGUCACAAUUUCAUCUCAUCACAUGCAUAAAAAGACAGGAAGGACUAGAGACAUCAACUGACCAGAGAUGAACAGGACCCACAAAUGCGACCCCGAGAAAAGAAAAAUAGACUACUCUGAGAUAUGUGGAUAUCCUACGAUGUAGCCCUGCAUCGGAUACUUCUAGAGCCAGAAAUGUGGCAACAGAAAAUGCAGAGAUAGCAUCAGCUCUAAAAAUAUCUGAAUCGGAAAUCACAACUAUUUACUUUUAUCAAAAAGCAUUUGUUUUCCCUGAAUUUUCACGUUUGUGCUGACGGCCGACGGAAAUGGUGAUAAACACAAGGAAGAGACACGUGCGCUGACAUGGCCCAGGGACGACUGUCCGGUGGCCGCUCCUCAGGAGGCCCCCAGCCCGCACCGUGUGCCCCGAAAAGGGCUCGGGCCUGCUGCUGCCUCCUCUCUCUGGCAUGCCGCCAGCACAGGACGACCGCACACCUUCCCGGGCCCUUUGCCGUUGCUGCCAGGGUGCUCUGAAGAUACCUCGGAGUGCCAGGAUACUUCGGCAUUGUCUUGUUGGGCAACAUGGCAAAGAACAGGACUGCACCUUCUUGGAGGGAUCCACAGUCCUCGGAGACGCUGAGAAGCGGUAUGAACCAGGUAUGGGCUCAGCAGAGAAGAGGUGCUUGUAAGGGCGGUGGAAUGACUCCGUGUCAUCAUACCUGUGACAGGUGGUUCAACCCCAUGCCACUGUUCGGAGGGCAGGCGGAACGGCUCCGUGAUAUUUGUGAACUGACGCAUGGAUUCAUGCCAUUAUACCAACAGGCAGACCAGUAACACCUUGUAUGAAGGACAGGCGAACCACGCCGUGUUGGUUCCAUCAGGAAGACGGAUGCCUGUCACUGGAUUGUGGGUUGGCAGACCUACACUACUGGACGUGGGGCAUCACCCAUCAGUGUCGUAUUAAGAGAACGACAUCGGUCCAUUGUACUAAAGACAGGCGGAUCAACGACAUGUCAUCUUUACUGACAGAUGGGCCAACAGCAUGGCAUCAUGCUAACCAGUGGCUCAACCCAAUGUUUCUGAACCGAGGAACGGCCAACAACUCCAUCCUGUUGGACCCAACUCAUGCAGGCCAACGCCAGGUUGUCAAACUAGAACAGGAAGACCAACACCAAGAAAUACACCAGAACCGUUCACAAUGCACACAAAUACUUAUUGCUUUUGUCUGUACUGGCUGCAUUGAUGGCUGCAGGAAGGAGAGCUGAGUUUUGGUACAGACAGUGACACUGAAAACACACCAACAGCUGGUUGACAAGAAAGAGAACAGAGUAAACGCCCAAUGCCCACCGUCUACUGUAUUCUUCUGAGAUGUGCAUGCUUCUGGUACACGUGACUCUGUGAGAGGCCCCGCUCAAGAGCUCAAGUACCCUUCCUUGCAAGGGACCUAAUGGGAAGCGUCAGAGGGGCAGGGAAGGAGCCCACAGACCUUGACAUGGCAGACAGCAAUACCAGCACAAUAUCCCCCACCGUGGCCGGACACAGGCACGGACCAACAACCCAACUAUAGUCCCGAAAAGUGGCCCACGGGAAAUAGUGCUUGUUUUAAAGUGCAAGAUGUUGACACUGUCCCUGGUAGAACCUAUUUUUGAAAAACAUAAAGUGCUUUUUAUUUUAACUUUUUUUUUAAAACUUGAAUACCACAGGAAACAAAAAAGAAUUUCUAUUAUAGUAGAUGCUUUCCCUGCUGCAGCAGGAAGUAUUCAAAAGUCUGAAUCGGGCAUUUCAAUUGGGGAUUUCUUUUUUCCUUUCAUUUUUGCAGGUAAAAAAAAAAAAUCAGAUUUUAUUCUGUUCUUCAGUAACAUACAGUCUCUUUGAAUAAGCUAUUUCUUUUGCAUAUUUGACACUUGCAUAUCUUUUGAGUCUACACUGGUGAUGUACAGAAAGUGUUUUCCUUCUAACAACCCUAAAGCAACGCUCACAGUUCAUACCGUUGGCUGAGUGCCUGCCGUCUGAACCCUUCCCAGAUUGCCAGGGGGCAAUUAGAAUCAAGUACAAGUGGUGCAACUCACCCUGAUGAUAUCUCAAAAUAAAAUCUCAGGUACUAUGGAACACUGAAGUCAAUGAAGACAUUUGAGUAAGGGUUUUGCGCUGGGAUCGCGGCUGAUGGUGCGGAAAUUUCCCCAUGACACGAGUAUCCUCUGUAGCUUUCUAACAGUGGGAUCCAUCCAGGAGGUGAUGGACAGGAGUUCCUACAGGUGGCCAGGUAACACCCAAAACCAAAUUGGUCAACCCAGCCACUUGUUCCGGCAUCCUUCUCCAGCUGAAGCCUGGAGGGAUCGAGAUGCUGCCCCCCCCACCACUGAGGCUGUGAUGGAGAGCCGUGACAGACGAGUGGGGAGGAGGUGGCCUUGGUUAGGUCCAGCAUGUGGUAGUGGUGGCUGUGAGUUCUGCCCAUGUCAUCUCCCAAAGAGGGCAGUGGACUUGGUACAAGGAGACGCCACAUCCUGUGGCUUGGCCGACUUCAUUCGGUCAUACCUAUCAUGGCUCUCAAGGCCCUAGGGAGCCUCCCCUGGAGUUUCGCUUCUGUCUGGGGGCUUUGCAGAGCCUUUCUGAGUUCGUGCGGAAAAGCUCUGCGGCAGGGAAGCUGAACGGCACACCUCUCGGGUCUUGCCACAAGUCUCUGUUGCAGGUGGGGUAGCUCAGAUGCUCUGAUCCCGUGUGCUUCCAUGGGCUCCUCCUCCCGGCAACACGCGGACGUCGGGGGAGAUGUGGUUCUCGAGUUUGCACUUUUCCUGGCCACUGGGGCCUUUUCCAGUCAAUGCUUCUGUGGAGUAAAUACAGUUCUGCCUUAAGAACUUAGGGGAGGUGGGUAAGGGGGAGCUUUCAAAGUGGUUCUUCUCUGAUCUUGUCCCAACGCUGAACUUGGGACUGGUGCUCACGUGGACGCUCUUGGGAGGGCUGGAAUCUACACUGUAGAGCACCUGCCCCUCAUCAUCUGUGUCCGCAUCAAUGUACUGGUGGACACCUGCUUCGAAGUUGAAUGCUAUUGCUGUGUGUUUCUCAGGUGAUCGGGGGGGCGUCCUAGCACUUGCUGUGGUGUAGAUGGAGGACUCUGGACUCAGUACAGGCCUGUCCAAGAGUGUGGCACACUCCAGUCCAGCGACAGCAGCUGCAGCGCCCCCCCGGUUCCUAAGAGGGUCAUGGUACAACCCCAGAACGGGGACUAGUGGACUGGGAUCCCCCUCCAUGAAGUUGACUUUAAGUGCUCGGAGCUUCAGGGGGUUGUUUGUCUUCAGAGAACUCUUGGGGCUCUCAAUGAAGAAGGUAGAGCGAUGGCUAGCAUCAGGGGUGGGGUUGGCCUCCACAAAUCUACCACCACUGGCACCCAGAGCUCCCCGCCAGCCCAUCUCUGGGGCCAUGCUGCCCCCAGUCUUGCUGGGAAGUGAUGCCAAAGGGCUGUGGGAGAAUCUGGUGGCUUCAGGGAAGUCUGUGGCACAGCUAAUGAAGCUAUCAAUGCUUGACAUGCUUCGCAUGUCAAUGACCCCUUCUGUACGCGUGGGCAGAGGGGCUACAGGGCUGGGGAUACUCUCCAUUUCAAGUUCUUCCUUUGGUUUGCUCUGUGUUGUUGACUCCUUGGUAUUGAGGAUGGGUUGAGAUUGGGUCUUGGCCAUCUUAUUGUACAUGUCUUCCAACUGCUGGACGUUCAGGUGCUGAGGACUAGAAGAUGAUCUGGCCUUCUCAGGGGAUCCCUGCUCCUUGGUUUCAAAGGACUUACUUGAGCUAGUUUCAGACAGUGUCCUCUUUGUCCAUUUCCAUUUGUUGGGAGACAAGUGAUUAUCUUGCACUUUGUCCUUCUUACCCAUAUUGUCUCCAUUUUUCUCAACCACGAUGUCCAUCAUCUCGAUGCUCCGGGCAAAAGCAUCUUUCAUGUUCAUGGAUACGAUGCUGCCAUUCCUCUUGGCUCUUUCCAGAGCCUCUCUCCGCUUGAUUGCUUUCUCCUGCCUCUUCUGCUCCUUGUAGAACUCAGAGAAGUUAUUGACAAUGAUGGGGAUGGGAAGGGCAAUCACCAGGACCCCUGCAAUGCAGCAGAGCCCCCCAACAAUCUUCCCCAGGAGAGUCUUGGGGUAGAUGUCUCCAUACCCAACGGUCGUCAUGGUGAUGGUGGCCCACCAGAAAGAGGCUGGGAUGCUUUUGAACUUGGUGUCAUCCUCAUCCUUCUCAGCAAAGAAGACAAGGCUGGAGAAGAUCAUGAUGCCCAUGGCAAGGAAGAGGAUGAGCAAGCCCAGCUCAUUGUAGCUCCUCCGCAGGGUGAAGCCCAAGGACUGGAGGCCAGUGGAGUGGCGUGCAAGCUUAAGGAUGCGGAGGAUACGCAUGAUGCGGAAGAUCUGGACCACACGACGGACGUUCUGGAACUGCAGCACACUCUUGUUGGAUUCGGUGAGGAAGAUGGUGACAUAGUAUGGCAAGAUGGCCAACAAGUCAAUGGCAUUGAGCGGGCCCUUGAAGAACUUCCACUUCUUGGGUGAGGAGAGGAACCGCAGCAGGUACUCCAUGGUGAACCAUGCAAUGCACACGGCCUCCACAUGGGCCAGCUGGGGGUUGUCUGUGGUCUGGCCGAACUCGUCAAGGCUCUGCAGCUCGGGCAGCGUGUUGAGUGACAGGGCAAUGGUGGAGAGGACGAUGAACAUGAUGGAAAUUAUGGCAAGGAUCUGCAAGGAGAAGAGAGUGGGAUUUAGUUACCAACCACCAACAGGAUGAUCAUCCUAACACCGUGCGUCCGCAGAAUGCUCCUCAACAUUCAAGAGCAUUUUCACAUCUCAACAGCCACUCAAUGCCUGGAUGUUUGAGCUAAAAAAAAUCAUUUAUUUGAAUCCAUUUGUUGUACAGAUGUACAAACCAAAGCCCAGAGACUGCAAUGAUUUAAAGCUAAUUAUUCCAGCCUCAGGGUGGCGGGGUGGGGUGGGGGGAGUCACUAGUGAGGACACAGGAGAUCUGAAAGAGGGUGUAGGGGCGGCAAUUUAGAGCUUGGGCUCUGGUGUCAGGCUGUUUUGGGUUCGAAUUCCAGCUCUGCUGCUUCCUUACCUUGAGCCAGUUGUUUACUCUAAGCCUCAUUUUCCUCAUCUGCAAAAUGGGAUGGUAAAUAAAUGUCUACCUCAGAGAGCUGCUGCAAGGGGUAAAUGCAUUAAUGCGUGCAAGGCAUUUAGGAGAGCUUCCAGCUGUGCACACAGAGGGUCUGGUGAACGCUAGCUGUCCUCACAGGGGAAGUCUCUCAGCCCACACCACCCCAUCGGCCUAGCCUGCCCAGCCUCCGAGUGGGCCAGCUGGUCUUUGCUUCCUGCCCCGUCCCGGAACGGCCUGCUAUAUCCCGUUGGCCAGUGCCCUUGCUGCCCGGGUGAGUUUGAGAGGCUUCCGUUUUCUGUAAUGAAUCCCCACUCACCACACAGGGUUGUCAAGCCUACAUUUUUACUCCGACCCCUCUCUUUGGGCCUUUCCUGCCACAGGUUCCCGAAUGUCACACUUCUCUGGCCACAUGUUUCCAACGAAUCCUGUGUCUUUUAAACAAAAGCUUUUGAGUUUUAAUUCUUGGUGUGCACUCAUUGAAAAAGUAAAAUUCUGUAAUCGCUUUAUAAAAAGAAAUAUCCAGUACAUACAAAAGUAGAUCAAAUUUAUGUAUAUUUACAAACCCUAAUCAAGCGAACGCCUGUGAACCCACAACCCAGGUGAAGAAACAGUAUGAGAUAGUAAUGCUGAUAUUUCCUGCGUGUCCUUCUCCACCCCGGGGGUAACCACAAUUUCUUCUCAUCCCUUUUCUUUUCUGGAGAGUUUUUAAUACUGAGAUAUAUGUCCCUAACAAAUUGCUAUUUUGUCUCGCUCAGGACUGACAUCCUAUUGUACGUGUUCUUUUGCUGCUUGUACUACUCUUCCCUCAGUAGUAAAACAACAACACACUGCUCACCUUCUCCAUUUUAGCCUUGUCCUAAGAAACGACAUUUGCAAAGAUGCUGGUUUUGUGUGCUAGGGAAAGAUGUGUUAAAUCUUCAUUAAAAUAAAUACGUGCUUAUUCCGGCGGCAUACUUUGGGAACUCCUGCACCGAGUUAGGAGUGUGGGCUCUAGAGGUAGAAUCCAGCUCUGCCAUUUACUGGCUGGAUGGCCUUGGCAUUGAAACUUCCCUUGCCUCAGUUUCCUUACUUGCGAAAUAGGGAUAUUCCAGUCAUUCAUAACUGGGGAUGAUUUUGAACCCCCAGGGGUCAAAAUUUGACAAAUGCCACAGAAAUUUUUGGUUGUCACGACUUGGGGGGAGGGAUGCUCCUGGCAGCCAGUGGGUGGAGGCCAGGGAUGCUGUUGGAUCCUACCGUGCACAGGACAGGCCUGCGAUGAAGAAUGAUCUGUCUCAAAAUGUCUAUAGUACCAAGGUUGAGAAACCCUGGGGUGUACCAGGAGCUAGCCCCUCAUAAAUCAUAGCGUGGGGGAUGAGGAGAUUAUGCAGGUAGGGUUACCAGCACAGGGCUAGACACAAGGUGGGUCUGAUUUUCUGGGGCAGGCAGCCAGGGCCUUGGGCAGAGCUCUGCAGGUUGCUUCUCUAGGUAGGCACUGAUCUCCGGCUAGGAGGAAGCCUGCAGGAGAAGGAGCAGAUUCCUGGGGAGCCUGUUCCUUUAAGAGCUGGGAGAUCCCAUUUCCCCCAGAGCCUGGCAAGGGAAGCCUGCUCCAGUUUCUAACCCCUAGACAACUCCAGGGAAGGCCCACACAAUUGAUAUUCAUGAAUUAUGUACCCGGAAUAUUAUGUAUGUAUUAUGUACAGUCCUUAGGGUUUGUUAUUCUAAGGUAGGCACCACCUUUGUACCUGAGAAUGAGAAUGUGCCCUGCCCUCCCCACCUCCCAGCCCCAGUAUGCCUAGAAAAGAAGAAAAGGGGGCAGAGUCCUCCCUGGCUCCUGAGGGAGGGCAGUCUGCUGCUCAGCAUUGUCUUGGGAGGGUCAGAGCACCUCAGGCCUCCUUCCGUGCACGCAGGCACCCCUCUGCACUCCGUCCUGGCCCUGCCCACAAGAUUGUUUUCUUUCCUAGACCCGCUGAAGCCUUUAGAGUCAGGGCGAUUCUUCCUGGCUGGGGAACUUCCAAGUGGGAGUUAAACCCCCUGUGCUUCAGUUUCCUUAUCUUUAAGAUUUGGGGUGGGGUGGGUGGAGGUGUCCAAUGCAAGGCUGCAAUGAGAGUUCAAUGAAUUCAUAAGGCCCUCAGAUCAGCUUUUAUUGCUGUUAUUACUCUGCAGCCUUAUACUUAUUUAUGAGCUGGUUUGGGAUCUGGGUUGGAGUCCUGACACUAUUAUCCCCGGCUGUGUGGCUUUGGACAAAUCAUUUCCCCUCUCUGAGUCUCCAUUUCUCCAUUUUUUAUCUCUAGAAUGGAGAUGGAAGUAAUUGAGCACUUGCCACAUAACAGCUACUUAAUAUAUGUUACGUUAUUAAAUUAUGAUCCAGGUAAUUUAUCAUCACGCCCACUCCCAGCCCCUGGACUGGUUGCUGAGGUCUGUGGGCCCCAGUGCCUGCUAAGGCAGCAGAUAUCCCACAAACAGCCUGAAACCCAAAUGAACAGUUUUGACCUGGUCUCUGGGAUGGACCCCAGGGGUGGACCAGCCAGCACCUGGAGUCCUCCCAGAACCUUGUUCAAACCCCUGUCUGGGCCUCUGCAUUUCCAGCUUUGCCUUCCUGGGAUCUGAGCCCAAUCAGGUUUGGGCAGGACUCCAGGAACCCGGGGAGCAAAGGCAAAAGCCAGGACAAGGGACUAGGAGGCAGUCUUCAAAUUCCCUCCCUGUAGGGAGAUUCUGGAUCCUGGAACCCACCUGUCUGCACCAAAUGGGGGCAGAAGCUUUGGUCCUCUGGGUGAAGAGAGCAGCAGGUGGGAGUCCCCAGGGUGGGAUCCAGGGGUGCUGGAGCCAGGCCCUCCUCCUAAUUGUCGGCUCUGGUGGUUGAUCACGGGGAUGCCCACCUUUGGCUCCAGCAGCUAUAAAUACAAACUGUUUAUCAUUUCCUCCACACACUCCCCUGCUCUUCCAGGAAUGUGAACGAGGCACAGAGUAUCUGUGCAUAAAAGGGCACAGGCAGAAAAGGGAAGGGUCUCAUUCAUGGGUACAUAGCCCAUUGGGGUCAUACCCGUAUAGGGACGCCAGAAGCUCUAGCAAGCUGAGAGAUGUUUAGGGCUUGGAAACUGCCCUUUUUUUUUUUUUUUUUAAACAAGUCAUAAAUCAUUUUUUAAAUUUAUUUUAUUUAUUUAUUUUUAAAAGAUUAUUUAUUUAUUUAUUUGACAGAGAGAGACACAGCGAAAGCAGGAACACAAGCAGGGGGAGUGGGAGAGGGAGAAGCAGGCUUCCCACGGAGCAGGGAGCCCGAUGUGGGGCUUGAUCCCAGGACUCUGGGAUCAUGACCUGAGCCGAAGGCAGACACUUAACGACUGAGCCACCCAGGCGCCCAAUCAUUUUUUAAAUUUAAAUUUUAAUUCCAGUAGAGUUAACCUACAGUAUUAUAUUAGUUUCAGUGUACAGUAUAGUAAUUCAACAAUUCUUUUUUUUUUUUUAAGUUUUUUUAAUUUAUUCAUUUGAGAGAGAAUGAGAUAGAGAGAGAGCAUGAGACGGGGGAGGGUCAGGGGGAGAAGCAGACUCCCUGCCAAGCAGGGAGCCCGAUGCGGGACUCGAUCCCAGGACUCCAGGAUCAUGACCUGAGCCGAAGGCAGUCGCUUAACCAACUGAGCCACCCAGGCACCCCAGUAAUUCAACAAUUCUUUACAUUACUCGGGGCUUGUUGUGAUAAAUGUACUUUUAUUUGGAAAUUGCUCUUCAUGCACAAGCAUGUUCAUAGCAGCUUUAUCCACAAAUAAAAAAGUGGAAUCAACCCAAAUGUCCAUCAGCUGAUGACCAGAUAAACGGGUAUAUCCAUAGAAUGGAAUAUUACUUAUCCAUAAAAAGGGGUGGAGGACAGACACACGCUACAACGUGGAUGAACCUUGAAAACAUGAUGCGAAGUGAAAGAAGCCAGACACAAAAGGCCACAUACUGUAGUAUUCCAUUUACAUAAAGUGUCCAGAUAAGGCAAACCUUUAGAGAUCAAAAGCAGAUUAGUGGCUGCCAGGGUGGAAAUAUGGAUUAACAGUUGUUAAUGGUUAUGAGGGAUCUCUUUGGGGUGAUAAAAGUGUUCUAAAACUGAUUUAGGGUGAUGGUGGCACAACCUGGCAAAUUUACUAAAAACUCAGUGAGCUGCGCACCAGAAAUGGGUGAAUUAGAUGGUAAUAAGUCUUAAUACAGUAAUAAAAUUUUUGCUUUCCAUGAAGAGUAUCCCAUUGCUUUUAAUCCUCACAACCGUACUGAAAGGUCAUAGGAGAGAAGCAAAAAUCCAAGCAAGCCACAGAUAGCCCUUCUGUGAACCCUGCAAUAGUUCCAGAAGCUCUCGGAUAAAGGUCUAAUUCUUUGCAUUUUGUUGACAUGUUUUUAUUUUAUUUUAUUUUUUUAUUUUUAUUUUACUUUAUUUUUUUUUUAAGAUUUUACUAUUUAUCUGACAGAGAGACACAGUGAGAGAGGGAACACAAGCAGGGAGAGUGGGAGAGGGAGAAGCAGGCUCCCGGCCGAGCAAGGAGCCCGAUGCGGGGCUCGAUCCCAGGACCCUGGGAUCAUGACCUGAGCCGAAGGCAGACGCUUAACGACUGAGCCACCCAGGCGCCCCUUAUUUUAUUUUUUUUAAAGAUUUUAUUUAUUUGAGAGAGAGAGAAACACAGUGAGAGAGGGAAUACAAGCAGGGGGAGUGGGAGAGGGAGAAGCAGGCCUCCCGCGGAGCAGAGAGCCCGAUGCGGGGCUCGAUCCCAGGACCCUGAGAUCAUGACCUGAGCCGAAGGCAGACACUUAAGGACUGAGCCACCCAGGCGCCCCUUGGCACGUUUUCUUACCAAAUGCUGUGCUAGUUGCUGGGGAUAUGCAGCAUGGAUAAGAAAGACCAUUUCUGUGGUUGCAAGGAACUGGACGAGAGAGACGUGGACGAAAUAACACAGAAACCCAUAAAAGAGCAAGAUGAUGCCAGAGAGUGCUAAGUGCUACAUGUUACUGAGAAAAACAAACCAGGGAGAUCGGUAGGGUAGCAAGGGGUGAGGGGUGUCCACAUGAGGUUGGGUAGUCAGGGCAGACCUAUUUCAGGAGAUGCCCUGGUUGUUGGGACUUGAGGAUGAGGAGUAUGUUGUUCAAAGAUCUGAGCAUUCCAGGCAGAAGGCAUAGCAUGUGCAAAGGCCCUGAGGUGGGAAUGAGUUUGGCUUAAUCAAGCAACAGAAAGCAGCUCAGUGUAAGUGGGGCUGAGUAUAGGGAUAGUUGGAGGGGAUGAGGUUGGAGCGGCAGGAAGAACUCAUCAAGAAUGAUAGAGAGAUUUGGAUUUUUAUAUUAAGACUACCUUUCUUCUCUCUCUCCAGACUAUUUCCUGAAUUUCCCACUGCAUAUUCCAUACUGAAUCCUCGUAAAAACACUUAUAGUUCCCAAGCCGCACUGCCAUGGUUGCUCACAUCCCAAGAUCCUCACCAUGCUGUUCCCUCUGCCUUCAGCACCCUUCCUCCUCCACUUCUCUUGGCUGAUUCCUAUCAGCUCCCAACUCAGGGGCCAUUGCUCCAGUGAGCCUGCUCUGACCCCCAGCUCUGGGUCAGGUGUGUCCAUCCUCUGGAUUCCCACAGCCCCUAAGAUUCUCCCAUGAGAGCACUGAUCUCGCUGAGCUGGAAUUUUCUCCUCUGUGUCCUGCAAAGGAAUGUCAGCUCAUGAGGACCCAGGCUGAGUCUGUCUUGGACUGCUGUGUCUGUAGGUCCUGAAACAGUGCCUGGCACAGAGUAGGUGCUCCCUAAAUGGAUGAUAAAUGAAUGAACAAGCAAAUGAAUGGAAGGGAGGCUCAGAGAAUGAAGUGAGUUAUCCAGGUCCACACAACUUGGAAGAGGUAGAUCUGGGACUUGAUCUCGGGUCUGUGGGUGUCCAGAAGACAUGUUCAAGGACGUAAGAGGAGGCAGCUUCCGGACCCGGCAACCCUCUUGCUCCUUUUAUGGUCCUUCCGCUUCCCUGGCUUUAAAGGGAGAUUAUAGCUGGAGAGUUUUAAUUAGAAGGGUCACUGGCGUAGAUCCGAUUAAGGGGAUUGGGAGCAGACUGAUGGUCUGCACCCCUCUCCCCACUGGAGGUGGGGGGCCACCAGUGGGGAAUUGGUGAGAAAUUGGAGUCAGGAACCUGCAGGUGGCGCUCCUGGGCACAAAGGGACAGGAAUCCAGGGCUAAAUGUGCACAAAGGGACAGGAAUCCAGGGAUAAAUGUGCUUGGACAACAAAGGAUGAAGGCAGAGGCCUUGGGGUGAGCCAGCAAGAGUGGCCUUCACCAACAGAGGGCAACCGAGUCACAAAGGUGGAAAGGAGGUGCCGUGGCAUUGCUGGGGGUAUCCUAGGCAUUAUAAAUCAGAAGACUUGAGGCUGAGAAACUUAUUUUUACUUAAUUGGCCCACGUUUCAAAAUGGGAAGAUUUCACAUAAAAAUCCAGAUUUUCACAUUCCCUUGGAAAAUCAGAUGAUGUCUACACUCAACCUGCAUUCCCGAGGGCAACCAUUGCCUGGAGCUACAGGUCCCUCGCUCCUUCCGUUAUCUGUCAGGUUGCUGUAGGCGUUGGGUUUGCAAUGCGGGACCCACUGACGUAAUACUGAAGACUGCAACCGCUUACUGACUUGCUACUGUAUAUGAAGAACUUUCCAGAUGAGAUCUGCAUCUAAUUGCACAAGCCAGAAACCUACGGGUCAUCCUUGUCCCCAUAUCCAACCCAUCACCAAGUCUUGCCAAUUCUGGCUCACAAACAUCUUUUGGUCUUUUCCAUUCCUUCUCUACCUGCAAGCUACCACCCUUGCCCCAAGCCACCAUCACCUCCCACUGGGCCACCACAAACAGGCUUUCCAGCUUCCCCUACAAUGAGAUGAGGCCAUGUGGGCCAUGUGACUAGGUCUGGCCAAUGAAAUGUGAGCAGAAAUGAUGCUUGCCUGUUGUUUCCUUUUUCUUGCUGGCUGGUAGGCAGAUGUGAUGGGCAGAGCUGCUUGGAUCUGAGAUGAAAGUUAAUCGCAGCCCCUAGCCUGGCCCUUUAGUGAAAAAGUUUGCCAACUCCUGGUCUACCUUAUAACAUCUGUCUUAUUUAAGCCACUGGAUUUUGGAGUCUUGUUGUUACAAUCACUUAGUCUAUACUCUCCUGAACUCUCCAGCACCAUCCUGUACCAGGCUCCCCUUUGCUCUUUCACUUCAGGUGAAUUAGUCUUCCUUUGGUCCCUCACAGUUCUCAUGAUCCUUCUUGCCACAGGGCCUUUGCCCAUGCUGUUCUUGCUGCCUGGAAUGCUUUUUCCUUCACUCUGCCUGGUCAGUUUCUCCUCAUCCUUCUUAGCUCAGCUGAGGCAUCACCUCCUCAGGGAAGCCAUCCCUGACCCUGAUUUGAUCAGGUCAAAUCCGUAAUUGCAGGCUUUCAGAAUGCAUGUCUUUCUCUUCAGAAUGCUAAGUCGCAAUUUUACAAUAAUGUCCACCUCUGUAGAAUGUAAUCAACUUGAGGACAGAGAUUUGUGUCUAAUUUUCUCAAUCUUGAGUCCUCAGAGCAUACAGUAGGUGCUCAACACGUAUUUAUGGAAUGAAGAAUCUCAUUUCAUCCUGAAAACCACCUGCAGGUUGUGUUGUACCCCUGGCCCUCAUUUUAUAAUUGGGGAAACUGAGGCUUAGAAAGACAAUAACCAAAGUGACAACAAGGGAAGCGGCCAAGGCAUGGGUUUGAUCCAUGUUUACUAGGCACUGAAGCCCUUCUCUGUUUUAACACUUGAGCACCUGUUUUUAUCCCAGAAUCCUGGGGUCUGAAUUAUGUUGUUUUUUAAAAAUUUUUAUUUAUUUAUUUGACAGAGAGAGAGACAACAAGAGAGGGAACACAAGCAGGGGGAGUGGGAGAGGGAAAAGCAGGCUCCCUGCUGAGCAGGGAGCCCAAUGGGGGCUUGAUCCCAGGACUCUGGGAUCGUGACCUGAGCCGGAGGCAGAUGCUUAAUGGCUAAGCCACCCAGGUGCCCCAAAUUUUGGAUUUUUGAGGGGUGAAACAGAAAGGAACACAUUAGAUAAUUGAAUUAUGGUUUUUAACGUAUGUCCUCACUUGAACCAUCUCCCCCAGGUGACCUGACUCUUCCCUACACAAUCUGGGCUGGGCAUCCUUCUCCUAACAGGUGAAUUAAGUUCCCAUGAGCCUUGUCAAAGCAGGGAUUCUGGGAGCUGGUGAGAUUACAACCUCCUGCCCAUCUGAGGACAAUGCUUCUGGUGGUGGGGGUGGUGGUGGUGAUAAUGGAGACUUGACUCUGGUCCCUGCAGAGGGAGGAGGGGAUAGUGAGAAACUUGAUUGGAGCAGGGUUCUUCCUGCCUGAGUGAUCGUCAAUUCCCUACAUUUGCUGAGGGCGUGCGGAGCUGAGGAAGGGACUGUUGGUCUCAACAGUGAUGAAUGGUGUCGGUCCAUCCCUGCUGCAGGGAGCAGUGGAUUGAAUAAAAAACAAGGAGCACAGGAAAUGUUAGGUAAGGACAGUGUCCACGGGUUCUGCUGAGCCACAAAUCUGUCCCCUUGCCCCUGAAUCUGCAGGGAUGGGGAGUGUGGAGGGUAGUCUUUGAGAGCCUGGCCAGGGCAGCUGGGGGUGCUAAAGGAAGCUAAAUAUGUUGGUCUGGAUGUUGGGAUUGGACACCACCCUGGCUAACAUCAGAAUGAUGGCUCUGUGAUUCUCGAUAACAGCCAGAUUUGCUGGUUAAUGUCCAAGAUACAUUUAGAAGGAGACAUUUGGGGGGCUUAACAACAGAUCUUUUUCAUAUAGCAUUUUAGUCUCACUAGAGAUUCACGUUGAGGUGAAUGCAUGGGUAGUCAGGAGACCUACUUUCCAAUUCUGGCUGGGCAUCUUUAGGCCAGUGUCUUCACAUCUCUUGUCUUUCUCAUGGAACGGCCACUGAGAAUCUGCUGGGUCUCCAGCAUAGUUCCUUUCCAAGCCGUGACUCAGGGAACCGGUGGCUCUAUCGUCUCAAUAUGUGACUUCCAUUCUUGCCAAGGCAGGGGCAGGAAUAGCGUGAAGAAGUCACGCUUGCCUGUGCCCAGAAGUGAUAUGCGUCAUUGCUUCCCCUGACAGCGAGGUCUGAGAUCUACAGCCUGCCUCCCCAUGGGGAUGCAGUUAGUGCUCUGAAACCUGUAAAAUGCUCACGAAGCCUAAGGAGAUGGUCUCCAACGCAGAUGUGUGCACCGUAUGAUGUACUGGGGGAGGAGCAGAAAGAAGUGACUGGCAUUUGAUGGGCCUCUAUUUCCUCUGUGCAGAACUGUGUGACUCGCUGUGCACCGGGAUGAUGCAGAUAGCUUCUGGGCUGAGGGUGAGUGGGUGUGAGCUCCCUCUCCUCAGCAACAAUGGAGGUCUCGUGUUGAGAGGACAGUGGAUCCUGAGUCACCACGACUUGGAAGAGGGCCGUGCUGCACUCUUACUGGGUCCUUAGGGGGAAUCACACAGAACACAAGCUUCAUGAACUGUGGGGUCUUGGUCCUCUUCUCGACAGUUAUAUCCUCAGUGCCUAGCAAGGGGCUGGUGUACAGUAGAUACUAAAUAAAGAUUUGUUGGAAGAACAAACGUGUGGAUUCCAGGUCUCCAGAUGAACUCCACAGGGCUCUGACUGGGGCAACAGGUUCUGAAAUGCCUAAUGGAUCUUUCUCUCCAAGAAAUGCAAACCCAGCUCUCCACUGGGGUCGGGUGGUUUACCUGCUGGCCACAUGUCCGAAUCCGUGCAGCAGUUCCGGUCACUGUGUUUUUGUGACCGGAGGCAAAACACACUCUGCUUCCUCAAGACAGUCCAACAAACACAAUGAGAACUUUCUGGAGCUCAAGGUAAAAUUUGUAGAGCGAAAUCCAUCUCCAAAUGCGUGGUUUACAAGGAAGCAAAGGGGAACUAGGGAUUAUGUCUUUGUAAAUAGCAGAUGAGAUCUUAUGUAAAGUUGGCUUCCCUUGGGGUGGCUCCCAUUUCCAAAAAACUCAUUAUUAUGCAGAAAAUAAUCAUUCAUGAUGGUAGUUACCAUUAACUAAGCAGCUAUUAUGGGAUGAGGCACUGUGGACUGCAUUAGGUACAUUGUCUACUCAAACCUCAAGACAUCCUUGAAUUCGAUCCCUGCCGGCAAGAAAAGGAAACCAAGGCUCAGAGAAGUGAAAUGCCUUGCUUGAUGUCCCACAGCCACUAAAAGGAGAAGUCGGCACUCAAACCCUGGUCUUCUCUCCCCAAAUCCAAGACAAGAUCCUCAAAGGACCCUGGUGCAGGCAAUCCGCUGCUAAGACAGCCCAUGCAGAUAAGCACAGGCCUGCUGACCAGAGCCUGAAAAAAUAAGAACUCUAGGUCAUCCAAACGGCAAAGCCAGCCAGUCCUGCAGCACUCUGAGUUCGGGCUGGGGUUACGACUCACUGUUGGUGUGUUCCUGGAAGAUAUCCAGACUGCUCUGGCCAUUUUCUCCUACAAGCUUUGGUGAAAGGCAAGGGAAAUUGCGUUUGGAAAGCCUUCUCUGGAUUCCAUUAAAGCAGGGGCUUAGGGGCCUACAGCAACCACCUGUGCACUGUCCCAACCCCCGUGUGGGUCUUCCCUGUUCUGAGAAGACACUGUGACCCAAGGCUGGGCAAGAAAUCCUGGAUUUCCAAGUACAUGGCUCCUUGGGGGUGGGGAGCAUGGACACUGGCCUGGGGGCAUAGAACCGGCAGGGUAGGGUCUUGCUUCAGGCUUGGCCUGUGAGGCAAGAUAAAAUUUGGCCCAAACCAACUUUGGCCAAUAUGAAAUGGUAAGGAAUGUCUUGUUCUGGGAUGGGCCCUUAUGGUUUAAUAGUCCUGGGCAGCAUUUUCCUCCAAAACCUCUCGACCUACUGAUAAAACUUCCCAGCCACGUGGGUCUUAAAACACAUUGCUCACCACUCCUCCAUCAAGAGGCAAGCUUUAUGCCCCUUCCUCUUGAAUUUGGGCUCUGUAAUUGCUUGUUCAGUAGACUAUGGCAGAAACAACGUGGUGCCAAUUUCAGGGCCCAAACUUUGAGAAUCUGGCAUCUCUUACUUCCUGUAUCUUGGGAUGACCACGCUUGGAACCCAGUUGCCAUGCUGAGGAAGCUCAAGCUACCCCACGGAGAGGAACAGACCACCAGGAAUGACACUAUGUCAUGCAGGCAAGCCCCAGUUGAGCUACCCCAGCGGACAUCCUGUGUGGAGCAGAAAUGAACUACCCCCCCCCCCCCCGGCCUUGCACAUGCUGCGUAAAUAAAAUGAUUUUGUUUCAAGCCACUACAUUUUGGAGGUGGCUUAUUACACAGUAAUAGGUAACCUUCCCAAACUGGAAGGAAUUCCUGGGUCUUACAGGAACCCCAGAUCCAGAUGUAGGAUUUUAAUAACAGAAGGGCCUGUCAUUUGAAGAAAGGCUAAUAAAUCAGGCUGCAAAACUUCAUCUGCUGACCGCCUGCCCCCCCCCACCCAAUGUCUCCCCAAUCUCAUAACUGGAAUAGUUAAGAAUAGUCUUGGGCUCUUCCCUAUUUGAGAUAGAAUCCUCCAUCAACCAAACACACCUCUAGAUCCUCUGUGAUCAGGGGUGAAGGGGACAAAGGUGGAGACUAGAUGAUUUCCCUUAAUUCAGGAUUUUAGAUAUUUUUCAUGGAAUUAUCUGGUAGCUAUCAUCCUAUUUGGAAUAUCCAAGGAAACAAGGCCACUGUAUAGGAAAGCACCAGAAACCUUUCCUUCUGCUCUUUUAAUGAUUGUGUGGGGCUGCCAUGGAGAUGAAACUGGGAAGAGGUGGAGGAAGGCAGCCUAUAAAAUCUCUGUGAAUGCCUCUUUUUCUAGGGCUUGGCCUGGCUCCAUGGAAGUGGGUUUGUCAUGUGAUUCAAAAAGUCUCUAAAACUCUGUCUGCCAAACUGUCCCUCUCUCUGAUUUUCAGUUAGCUAGAACUCCCAAGAGGCCCAUGACAACAGGACAAUGCCCAAGAAACACAAAUAGAGGGUUCUGAGCGACUGACAGUCAUUGCCCUCUCCCUAACUGACAGUGCCCUGAAAGCCUUCAUCAACAUUAUCUUGGAGAAUUCUUUCAGGAACCUAGUGAAGGUGACUGGAUGCAAACCGUGGUCUGUCUGGACAAUACUACUCCACAAUAAGAAGCAGUAAACUACGAUACACUCUACAGCACGGCUGAACCUGCAGAACAUGAUGCUGAGUGAAAGAAGCCGGACACAAAGGGCCACAUACCAUAGGACCCCAUUUCUAUGAGAAGUCCAGAAGAGGCAAAUCCACAGAGACAGAACAUAGAUUGGAGGUGCUGGGGAGCGGGAAUGGGGAGUGAAUGGAUAUAGGCAUAAGGUUUCUUUUGGAGAUGUUCUGAAAUUGGAUUAUAGUGAUGGCUGCACGACUCUGUAAAUUUACUAAAAAAUAUUGAAUUACACACUUAAAAUGAAUGGGUUUUAUGGUAUAAAAAUUAUUCCCCAAUAAAGCCGUUUUAUUUAUU